rnacentral:misc_RNA from 1 species
UUAAGUUCAGCGGGUGGUCCUACCUGAUUUGAGGUCAAGAACAAAAGGGGCCACACGAUGGCAGCACGACUCGCUUGGAUGCAGAUAGAUUAUCACACCCAGAGCAGAGGUCAUAAAAAAACCGCCAAUGCAUUUCAGGGGAGCAGACCACAGAGCUGGAGCCUGCACCAUCCCCCCAAGUCCGAGCCACACACGCAGGU